CUUGUUGGUAUGACUAUAAAUAGUCAUUUUACAAUUCUUGGAUGCACUAAAAACAAGAGAUCAAAAUUCUCCAAAACGUUUUGUAACAAUAUUUAUUCCAUAAACCUUGUGUAGUAUCCAUAUUGGUCUCAUGAACAUGAAUUGCACAUUUAUUUCUCUAUAAAAAAGUUCAUAACUUUUGCCUAGAAUACCCAUGGUCUAUGAUAAAGGAAAACCUAAACCAAAAGUUGUAAGAUUUUUGUUCUUUAUCAAUUUGAAAGGGCUCUUAAUUGUU
rnacentral:lncRNA from 1 species